rnacentral:rRNA from 1 species
UACGGAGGGGGCUAGCGUUGUUCGGAAUUACUGGGCGUAAAGCGCACGUAGGCGGCUUUGUAAGUUAGAGGUGAAAGCCCGGGGCUCAACCCCGGAAUUGCCUUUAAGACUGCAUCGCUUGAAUCCAGGAGAGGUGAGUGGAAUUCCGAGUGUAGAGGUGAAAUUCGUAGAUAUUCGGAAGAACACCAGUGGCGAAGGCGGCUCACUGGCCUGGUAUUGACGCUGAGGUGCGAAAGCGUGGGGAGCGAACAGG